rnacentral:rRNA from 1 species
AUUGAACGCUGGCGGCAGGCCUAACACAUGCAAGUCGAGCGGAUGAAGGGAGCUUGCUCCUGGAUUCAGCGGCGGACGGGUGAGUAAUGCCUAGGAAUCUGCCUGGUAGUGGGGGAUAACGUCCGGAAACGGGCGCUAAUACCGCAUGCGUCCUGAGGGAGAAAGUGGGGGAUCUUCGGACCUCACGCUAUCAGAUGAGCCUAGGUCGGAUUAGCUAGUUGGUGGGGUAAAGGCCUACCAAGGCGACGAUCCGUAACUGGUCUGAGAGGAUGGUCAGUCACACUGGAACUGAGACACGGUCCAGACUCCUACGGGAGGCAGCAGUGGGGAAUAUUGGACAAUGGGCGAAAGCCUGAUCCAGCCAUGCCGCGUGUGUGAAGAAGGUCUUCGGAUUGUAAAGCACUUUAAGUUGGGAGGAAGGGCAGUAAGUUAAUACCUUGCUGUUUUGACGUUACCAACAGAAUAAGCACCGGCUAACUUCGUG